AACUAUAGAGUUUGAUCCUGGCUCAGAUUGAACGCUGGCGGCAUGCCUUACACAUGCAAGUCGAACGAGAAAGGGGUUUCGGCCCUGAGUAGAGUGGCGCACGGGUGAGUAACGCGUAAGUAACCUACCCCUUUAUUGGGGAUAACAGUUCGAAAGGGCUGCUAAUACCGAAUAAUCUCCGAUAAUGCGAGUUAUUGGAGGAAAGGUAACCUCUUGAUAAAGUUACCGUAGAGGGAGGGGCUUGCGUACCAUUGGCUAGUUGGCGAGGUAACGGCUCCCCAAGGCGACGAUGGUUAGCGGGUCUGAGAGGAUGAUCCGCCACACUGGAACUGAAACACGGACCAGACUCCUACGGGAGGCAGCAGUGAGGAAUAUUGCGCAAUGGGGGCAACCCUGACGCAGCGACGCCGCGUGAGUGAAGAAGGCCUUUGGGUUGUAAAGCUCUGUCGGGAGGGAAGAAAUGCUUGGCGGUUAAUAGCCGUCAGGUUUGACGGUACCUUCAAAGGAAGCACCGGCUAACUCCGUGCCAGCAGCCGCGGUAAUACGGAGGGUGCGAGCGUUAAUCGGAAUUACUGGGCGUAAAGGGCGCGUAGGCGGCCCGGCAAGUCAGAUGUGAAAGCCCACGACUCAAUCGUGUGAAGUGCAUUUGAAACUAUCGGGCUUGAGUACCGGCGGGGGAGAUGGAAUUCCCGGUGUAGAGGUGAAAUUCGUAGAUAUCGGGAGGAAUACCGGUGGCGAAGGCGAUCUUCUGGACGGAUACUGACGCUGAGGCGCGAAAGCGUGGGGAGCAAACAGGAUUAGAUACCCUGGUAGUCCACAGCUGUAAACGAUGUGCACUAGAUGUAGGCAGGAAUUGACCCUGUCUGUGUCGUCGCUAACGCAUUAAGUGCACGCUGGGGAGUACGGCCGCAAGGUUAAAACUCAAAGGAAUUGACGGGGGCCCGCACAAGCGGUGGAGUAUGUGGUUUAAUUCGACGCAACGCGAAGAACCUUACCUGGGCUUGACAUCCCGGGAAUCCCUUUGAAAGGAGGGAGUGCUUUCUAUUAGGAAGAACCCGGAGACAGGUGCUGCAUGGCUGUCGUCAGCUCGUGUCGUGAGAUGUUGGGUUAAGUCCCGCAACGAGCGCAACCCUUGCCUUUAGUUGCCAUCAUUAAGUUGGGCACUCUAGAGGGACCGCCGGUGUCAAACCGGAGGAAGGUGGGGAUGACGUCAAGUCCUCAUGGCCUUUAUGUCCAGGGCUACACACGUACUACAAUGGCCGGUACAGAGAGCAGCGAGUCAGCGAUGCCAAGCUAAUCUCAUAAAGCCGGUCUCAGUCCGGAUUGGAGUCUGCAACUCGACUCCAUGAAGUUGGAAUCGCUAGUAAUCGCGGAUCAGCAUGCCGCGGUGAAUACGUUCCCCGGCCUUGGUCCACACCGCCCGUCACACCACGAAAGUUGGUUGUUCCAGAAGCGGUUGGGCUAACCCGCAAGGGAGGUAGGCCGCCAAGGAAUGAUUAGUAAUUGGGGUGAAGUCGUAACAAGGUAGCCGUAGGGGAACCUGCGGCUGGAUCACCUCCUUUCU
rnacentral:rRNA from 1 species